UACGGGGGGAGCAAGCGUUGUUCGGAUUUACUGGGCGUAAAGGGCGCGUAGGCGGUCAGCACAAGUCAGUUGUGAAAUCUCCGGGCUUAACCCGGAAAGGUCAACUGAUACUGUGCGACUAGAGUGCGGAAGGGGCAACUGGAAUUCUCGGUGUAGCGGUGAAAUGCGUAGAUAUCGAGAGGGACACCUGCGGCGAAGGCGGGUUGCUGGGCCGACACUGACGCUGAUGCGCGAAAGCCAGGGGAGCGAACGGG
rnacentral:rRNA from 1 species